rnacentral:lncRNA from 1 species
AGGAAGCGCUCGGUGGUGAAGUAGCGCAGGGUCGGCUUCGGGGCGCGCAAAGCGGUGAGGAAGACCUGCGGCGGCGGGAGGAGAGCUGUGGCCACCGCUGCGCGCCGGAGGACGCACCGCCCCCACUCCUGGAGUCCAGCCCGGCGCUCACCUCCGCCACCUCCUCAGGGUUCUGCGCCGCCUCGCGAAAGACUUGCUUGCUGUGGGCGAGGUAUUGGUAGAAGCGGUGGAAGGUGUGGAUGUCCGUGCGGUCCAGCACCUCCUCUGGGCUGCCCAACACCUUCUCCAUGAAGGCGGUGUGCACUGGGCCGCACUCGAUCAGGCUCAAGCUGCUGGCCGGAGAGCAACGAGUGGGAGGGGGCGGACGCCAGCCAGGCCCCAGUCCCAGCCCCAACCCCAGUCCCAGCCCCAACCACGUCCCGGCCCCCGACCGCGAGCAGCACCGCUGCGCUGGGAAGUGAGGCGGAAAGGGCGCUGGGGAUAACCAGAACAUUUGAAACGCGGGUUCCUGCCGGAGCAGCCCUCCCAAAUCCAUCUGAGGCUACAAGGGAGCCCUGGUGUCAGGAUUCGAAUCUAGCGGGGUCCCUGGCCGCUGUGUGACCUUGGGCCAGUCACCUAACCUCUCUGGGCUGGAGCUUCCCCAUAACAAUACCAACACUUCAGCAGCUAGGUCAGCAGGUGGCACAAUGCGUGCCAUGCGCCCAGCCCAAGUGCCUGGCACACAGCUAAUGUGAGCCGGGCAGAGAGGGCCAGGGAGAUCGCCCCAGAGCGGCUCCCGCAGGACAGGGUGCUCGGCGUCUCUAGGUCAGAGUUAAGAGGGUUCGGGGAACGGGGGUGUUGACUCACUGGACCCCAAAGGGCAGCAGCAGAACCGCCAGACUCUCGCAUAAGCCUUCGAGCGCGAACUUGCUGGCGCAAUAAACGUCAUUGAAAGGCAGCCCUUAGGUGGGGAGACGAGGUUCCUGAGGCGCAGCGGCCAGGGGGUCAUCCCCGGGCAGACGGUGCCCCUCCAAGCUGACGGCACCCCACUCCACCCCCCCCGCGGAACCUGCCUUCAAGGCUCAGCUCCGCACACAAAGAAUCUGGAGCUGCCGAGGCCACUCCCUACCACUCACCCAUCAAUCCUCCCACGCUCCCGGUCACCAACACGCGUCCCGAACCGCGCCUCUUCAUGUCUGGCAGGAAGGCCUGCAGCAUCCGCACAGUCCCUACUACAUUCACGUCCAGCACAGAGGCCACGGCGUCCUCCCCCAGCGCCUCCAGCGGCCCCAGCAGGCCCAGGCCUGCGUUACACACUGCGGAGACAAGAGGCCCGACCAGCCCGCCUCAGCAUCACCCUCAGCACGGCCUGUCCCCUCGUGCUCCCUGGGCCUGGGAACAUGUUGGUUUCAACGCAGGGCGGAGAAGGCUCCUAGGAGCCCAUAUGCUUCCAGGAGGCUCACCCAGCACGUCCACGCGGCCCUCAGUCACGCGUUCCCGGGCAGCGGCCACGGAUUUUGAGUCCCUUACGUCCAGCUGCAACGUCUCCAGGGAUCCCGGAGGGCAUGCCAGGGCCCGGGCCGCCUCCCACAGCCGGCCCUGUGUUUUCAGGUCCCUCAACGUGGCAUACACUGGAGGUUUUGGGAGAGGAGGAAGAUCUGACUUCCCUUCUGGCCUCCAAGGGCUCCUCCCUUCUCUCCCUCCCUGUCCCUGCCUAUCUAUACCUUUGAAGCUCUGGGAUGGAUCUGAAGCCAGACGUACGGCCAAGUGCAGGCCGAUGCCCGAGGAACAGCCGGUGAUGAGCACCACGGUGCGGGCCAUGGUGAGACUGUGGGGAGAGGCUGGGGCUCUGGGCUUGAUAUCACCUGCUUCGCCCCGCCCCGCCUGCGGGCCCCCACCCCUUGUUGUGUCUCCCACGCAAUCUCAAGGAUAAGCCUUCCUGCGGGUCCCUGGCCCGCUCUCCCCACCCUGUUCUGAGCCAAAACAGACAUGAGCCCACUGCUUGGAACAACAAACUGUCCUGGUUGCUGGUCAGAGGGAGGGGAGGCUUUACAAGCAGGUGUGGGUUCCCACGUGGGCACAGAGUGGCCCCCUGGGCAGAUUCCCCUGGGUAUGCCUCUGUGCCACAGGAGCGAUUAUAGUGACCGCAGUUUGCUGCAGAGGCUGUGAAAGUAAAGGCGUUGGGAGGUGGGAGAUGAUUGUAUAUGUGCUGGUUUCGUCCAGGGUUCCUAGCUCAUAACUCACAUGACCAUGGUUACAGUCUUACGUUGUCAUGUUGGGGUGCCUCAGGCCUCAAAAAACAGCCUUUCGUCUCUCUGACCUUCUCCUGUCCUCUUUUCAGCUGCCCAAGGCAGGACUCUAAUCUGAUUGUGGGUUGUAGGAUCCUCAUUCCAGAGUGGGUCCUUGCCCCAUACCCUGGAGAAAGGAAUGCUGCACAAAGGCCCAAAGAAUCUGGACUGGCCUUGCUGGGCUUAGAUCAGACCCUUUUUGCCCAAUCACAUUAUCACAGUUGUCCAUGCUUCAGUCAUGGACAGCCAAUGGAGUUCUCCAUAAAAGGCCCAAAGGACAGGGUUCGGGAGCUUCUGAGGGCUGAACGUGUGGAGGCUGACAGAAUGUGCCCAGAGGGUGACGUAACCCCAACUCUAUGGAGAUAGAAGCUCCUGCUCUGGACCCUUCCAGACCGCCCUGUCUGUAUCUCUUCAUAUGGCUGUUUAUUUCUAUCCUUUAAAAUAUGCUUUGAGGCUGGGCACGGUGGCUCAUGCCUGUAAUCCCAGCACUUUGGGAGGCCCAGGAAAGGGGAUUGUUGGAGCCCAGGAGUUCAAGACCAGGCCAGGUAACAGAGUGAGACCCGGUCUCUGCAAAAAAUAUUAAAAAGCUUCCCAAGUAGCCGGGACUACAGGUGUGUGCCAUCACUGCCACCAUACCCAGCUAAUUUUUUGACUUUUUUGUAGAGACGGGGUCUCACUUUGUUUCCCAGGCUUUUUUUUAUUUUUGAGACAAAGUAUUGCUUAGGUUGGAGUGCAGUGUCUUAAUCUUGGCUCACUGCAUCCUGCAUCUGCCUGGUUCAGGCGAUUCUCCUGCAUCAGCCUCCCGAGUAGCUGGGAUUACAGGCACCCGCCACCACGCCCAGCUAAUUUUUAGUAUUUUUAGUAGAGACGGAGUUUCACCAUGUUGGCCAGGCUGGUCUCAAACCCCUGAUGUCAAGCGAUCUGCCCACCUCAGCCUCCCAAAGUGCUCGGAUUAUAAAAAAGUGCCACCCCACCUGGCCCUGUCAUUUUUAGAAGAUUAUUUUAUUUUGAGACGGAGUUUCGCGCUUCUUGCCCAGGCUGGAGUGCUGUGGCACGAUUCUGGCUCACUGCAACCUCCACCUCCCGGGUUCAAGCAGUUCUCCUGUCUCAGCCUCCCAAGUAGUUGGGAUUACAGACACGUCCCACCACAUCCGGCUAAUUUUUGUAUUUUUAGUAGAGAUGGGGUUUCUCCCUGUUGGUGAGGAUGGUCUUGAACUCCCAACCUAAGGGGAUCAGCCAGCCUCCACCUCCCAAAGUGCUGGUAUUACAGGCGUGAGCCACUGUGCCCAUCCUAAAAGAUCAUUUUAACUGCUCUGGGGUAAUUUCACUGCUGAUGGGCAGGAGUGGAAUCAAGAAAACUAGUUAGGAGGCUACUGCUGUAAUUGAAGGGAGAGAUGACAGUGUGCAGUCUGGAAUAGGGUGAUUUGGGGAUAUGCUUUGAUGAGCAAAGGUAGAGCUGUCAGUAUUUGCUGCUGAAUUGGUUGAAAGGUGAGAGAGACUGGAGUCAAGGACUACUCCAGGGUUUUUAAAACCAGUAUUGGGAAAAAUGGAGUUGUCAUAUAGUAAAGUAGAGAAGACUGGGGGAGGAGCCGGUAGGAGGACUGGAAAUGUGGAAUUGGGGUUUAGACACAUUAAGUUCAUUGUAUCAGGUGGACGUGUUGUAUUGAGUAGGCAGUUGGAGAUACAGACCUGGAGUCUGUGGGAGACAGUGGGGUUUCUUUGGUGGGGGGGUCAUCGGCAUCUAAGUGCUAUUCGAAGUCAUGGGACUGCAGAAGAUUAUAUUAACAAUGUGAAUAUUCACAAGCUUGAAAAAAUGAAUGUACGGAAGAGAGGGGGUCACACUUUACCUCUUAUUAUCCCACCCCCAGGGGUGACCUUGUGAGCCACACCACACAGGUACACACAUGCACGCAUAUGUACACACACUGUCACAGAGGGGCAAAGGGGGUUGGCGAGAGCGGGACUGAGAGCAGAUCCCAGGCCUCAGAAACCCAUGCCACCUGGGCCCCCUCCCUGUGGCCUUCCUGGAUGCUGUAGGGAUAGCAGAUCUGUCUGGGUCAGCAGGGCAAGGCGACUGGCAGGAGGGGGUGGCUGGGAGGCCUCUUCCUCCAAGAGCAGGGGCAGCACAUCAUCCAACAGGCAGAGAAGACCCUCAUCCAGAGGUAGGGGCAGGUCAGGGUGGAGUGCCUGCCUCCUUCCCCUAGUGCCCCACACAAAGCUCCAAGAGCUCCAGCAGGCUCCUGUCUGUUUCCACUUCCCAGGCUUUCUGUGGUCAUGUCCCUGCCCACUCCAAAGGGCCAUCCCCCUCAGCCUUCCCUCCCUCUCAGACCCAGCUGAAUCCCUGCCUCGGUACCGCCCCCUCCUGGGGCACUCCUGCCCCCUUCCUCUGCUGCAUCCUCACCUAGCCUCCUAUCUGUUCACACCUCCCCUGCACCAGACCUCCACAGAAGUUCAGACAGUGGCUCUACAACCCUACUGGCCCCUAUCAAUGACUUCUGCCCCCCUGGGACCCUCCACUGGGCUCAGGAAAGAUGGGCCAUUGUAGCAAAGUAGCCAGUCCUGUAGCCCCAGCUGGACCUCCUGGUGAGGCAGCUUCCCAGAUGGUGGGGAUCGCUCAGUCCUCUGGGGCAGAACAGGGUGAGUGGGGCUGUCUCCCUUUGAUUCACUUAGCCCUCUUUCUUCUUUACACAUUUGCAAAAUGUGACAGUAGUCAUAUUACUAUUCAUUCUAAUAACAGUCCUUGCUGGGUAUUAAACCUCUAUACUAGCACUUUCAGGCAUUAUCUCCACCAUUACUAAAACCGAUUAGAUAGGUAUUAUUAUACCCAUUUUACAGAUAAGAAAGACUCAGAGGGCCGGAUGGGGUGGGUCAUGCCUGUAAUCCCAGCACUCUGAGAGGCCAGGGCGGGCGGAUCACCUGAGGUCGGGAGUCCAAGACCAGUCUGACCAACAUGGAGAAACCUCGUCUCUACUAAAAAUACAAAAUUAGCUGGGCGUGGUGGCACAUGCCUGCAAUCCUAGCUACACUUGAACCCGGGAGGCAGAGGUUGUGGUGAACUGAGACCGCGCUAUUGCACUCCAGGCUGGGCAACAAGAGUGAAACUCCGUCUCAAAACAAAAGAAAAACAAAAAAGAAAAGAAAAGGGAAAGGAAAGGAAAGCACUCAGAGAAAGCAAGGAACUUGCCUGAGGUCUCAUGGCUAAUGGAGUGCAGGUCACAACCUGACUCUACCCCAACCCAAGUCCCACCUAACUCGUCCUGCAGAUGCCCCUUGGGUAUCCAGUGACUGUGUCUGGGCUUUACUGUGGACUUGAGGCAUGAUCCUGGGCUGGCUUCUUUCUGGACCUUGGUUUCUGGGUUGUUGGGUUGGUUGGUUGAUUAGAUUAAUUAAUUGACAGUGUCUCACUCUAUCGCCCAAGCUGGAGAGCAGUAGCUCGAUCAUGCCCACUGCAGCCUCCAACUCCUGAGCUCAAGGAAUGGUGCCACUGUGCUAAUUUUUUUAUUUUAGAGAUGGGGUGUCUCACUAUGUUGCUCAGGCUGGUCUGGAACUCCUGGCCUGGAGCGAUCCUCCUGCCUCGGCCUUCCAAAGCUCUGGGAUUAUAGGCGACAGCCAUCGCGCCUAGCCGCGCAGAUAUAACGGGCUAACGUGAUCUGUCUUAAUUAGCCAUCCACAGCCGUCACCGCCGUCCCAUCCCCAGGGACCGCACAGGCCCAGGAGACAAAGGAGGGCGCGGGAGACAGUGGCUGACGGAGCCUUUCUUGCGGGGCGGCCAGAGGAUCGCUGAGCUCAGGGUCUCCCAUCCCACCGGCCCCGCCCCCGGCCUCGGCCCCAGCCCCGGCCCCAGCCUCGGCCUCUGCGGGAUCGUCGGCGAACACGUCCCGGUGCAUGGCGGCGGCGUAGUCGAAGCCAAAGGGGUCGUCCAGGCGCAUCAGCAGCUGGUGCAGGAAGCGCCUGGUUGUGAAGUAGCGCAGGGUCGGCUUCGGGGCGCGCAUAGCGGUGAGGAAGACCUGCGGCGGCGGGAGAGGAGCUCUGGCCCGGGCUGCGCGCAGGACGACGCACCGCCCCCGCUCCCGGAGUCCCGCCCCCCGCUCACCUUCACCACCUCCUCAGGGUGCUGCGCCUCCUCGCGGUAGAUCUCCUUGCUGUGGUGGAGGUAUUAGUGCAAGAGGCGGAAGGUCCGGGUGUUCGUGCGGUCCAUCACCUGGUCGGGACCGCCCAACACCUUCUGCAUGAAGGCGGUGUCCACAGGGCCGCACUCGAUCAGGCUCACGCUGCUGGCCCGAGAGCCGCAAGUGGGCAGGGACGGAGGCGACCCAGGCGCCAAGUCCCAUCUCCUGCCCCAGCACCGGCCCCGACCCCGGCCCUGGCCACGACCCAGAACAGCACCGCUGCGUCCCGAAGGUGGAAAGAGCGCUGGGGAUAACCAGAACAUUUGAAUAGCGGGUUAUUGCUCGACAGCCCUCCCAAACCCAUCUGAGGCUGCCAGGUAGCCCUGGUGUCAGAAUUCGAACCUGGCGGGAUCCCCGGCCGCUGCAUGACCUUGGGCCAGUCACCUAACCUCUCUUGGCUGGAGCUUCCCCAUAACAAUACCAACACUUCAGCAGCCAGGUCAGCAAGUGGCACAAUGCGUGCCAAUGCUCCAGCCUAAGUGCCUGGCACGCAGCAAAUGUAAGCCGGGCAGAGACCAGAGCGGCUUCCGCAGGACAGGGUGCUCGGCAUCUCUAGGUCAGAGUUAAGAGGGUUGAGGAGACGGGGGUGUUGACUCACUGGACCCCAAAGGGCAGCAGCAGAACCGCCAGACUCUCGCAUAAGCCUUCGAGCGCGAACUUGCUGGCGCAAUAAACGUCAUUGAAAGGCAGCCCUUGGGUGGGAAGAUGAGGUUCCUGAGGCGCAGCGGCCAGGGGGUCAUCCCCCGGCAGGCAGUGCCCCUCCAAGCUGAUUGCACCCCACCCCCUAAGGAGCCUGCCUUCAAGGCUCAGCUCUGCACACAAAGAAUCUGGAGCUCCGGGCCCGGUCCCUGCCACUCACCCAUCAAUCCUCCCAUGCUCCCAGUCACCAACACGCGUCCCGAACCCGGCCGCUUCAUGUCUGGCAGGAAGUCCUGCAGCACCCGCACAGUACCUACUACAUUCACAUCCAGUACAGAGGCCACAGCGUCCUCCCCCAGCGGCCCCAGCAGGCCCAGGCCUGUGUCACACACUGCGGGGACAGAGGCCCAACCAGCCCGCCUCAGCAUCACCCUCAGCACGGCCUGUCCCCUCAUGCUCCAGGGGCCUGGGGACAUGUUGGUUUCAACGCAGGGCGGAGAAGGCUCCUAGGAGCCCAUAUGCUUCCAGGAGGCUCACCCAGCACAUCCACACGGCCCUCGGUCACGCGUUCCCGGGCAGCGGCCAGGGAGCUUGAGUUCCUUACAUCCAGCUGCAACCUCUCCAGGGAUCCCUGAGGGCAUGCCAGGGCCCGGGCCGCCUCCCACAGCCGGCCCUGUGUUUUCAGGUCCCUCAACGUGGCAUACACUGGAGGUUUUGGGAGAGGAGGAAGAUCUGACUUCUCUUCUGGCCUCCAAGGGCUUUUCCCUUCUCUCCCUCCCUGUCCCUACCUAUCUAUACCUUUGAAGCUCUGGGAUGGGUCCAAAGCCAGAUGUAUUGCCAAGUGCAGGCCAAUACCUGAGGAACAGCCGGUGAUGAGCACCACGGUGCAGGCCAUGGUGAGACUGUGGGGAGAGGCUGGGGCUCUGGGCUGGAUAUCACCUGCUUCGCCCCGCCCCGCCUGCGGGCCCCCACCCCUUGUUGUGUCUCCCACGCAAUCUCAAGGAUAAGCCCUCCUGCGGGUCCCUGGCCCGCUCUCCCCACCCUGUUCUGAGCCAAAACAGACAUGAGCCCACUGCUUGGAACAACAAACUGUCCUCGUUUCUGGUCAGAGGGAGGGGAGGCUUUACAAGCAGAUGUGGGUUCCCACGUGGGCACAGAGUGGCCCCCUGGGCAGAUUCCCCUGGGUAUGCCUCUGUGCCACAGGAGCGAUUAUAGUGACCGCAGUUUGCUGCAGAGGCUGUGAAAGUAAAGGUGUUGGGAGGUGGGAGAUGAUUGUAUAUGUGUUGGUUUCGUCCAGGGUUCCUAGCUCAUAACUCACAUGACCAUGGUUACAGUCUUUCGUUGUCAUGUUGGGGCGCCUCAGGCCUCAAAAAACAGCCUUUCCUCUCUUUGACCUUCUCCUGUCCUCUUUUCAGCUGCCCAAGGCAGGAUUCUAAUCUGAUUGUGGGUUGUAGGAUCCUCAUUCCAGAGUGGGUCCUUGCCCCAUACCCUGGAGAAAGGAAUGCUGCACAAAGGCCCAAAGAAUCUGGACUGGCCUUGCUGGGCUUAGAUCAGACCCUUUUUGCCCAAUCACAUUAUCACAGUUGUCCAUGCUUCAGUCAUGGACAGCCAAUGGAGUUCUCCAUAAAAGGCCCAAAGGACAGGGUUCGGGAAGCUUCUGAGAGCUGAACGUGUGGAGGCUGACAGAAGGUGAAGAACUCAUCCAUGUGCCUGGAGGGUGAUGUAACCCCAACUCUAUGGAGAUAGAAGCUCCUGCUCUGGGCCCUUCCAGACCGCCCUGUCUGUAUCUCUUCAUAUGGCUGUUUAUUUCUAUCCUUUAAAAUAUCCUUUGAGGUUGGGCACGGUGGCUGAUGCCUGUAAUCCCAGCACUUUGGGAGGCCAAGGCAAGGGGAUUGCUGGAGCUCAGGAGUUCAAGACCAGCCAGGGCAACAGAAUGAGACCCCGUCUUUGCAAAAACUACAAAAAAAUUAGCUGGGUGUGGUGGUGUAUGCUUAGAGUCCCAGCCACUUGCGGGGUGGGGCGCUGAGGCGUGGGGUUUGGGGGGAUGGAGGCUGUAGUGAGCCGAGAUCAUGCCACUGCACUCCAGCCUGGGUGACGGAGCCAGAUCCUGCCACUGCAGUCAUUCUGGAUGACAGAGUGAGACCCUGUCUCAAAAAAGAAAGAAAAAAAUUUUUUUCCUCUGUAAUAAAGCAAUAAACAUAAUAAGGGUUUCCCUGUGUUUCGUGGGUCACUGUCGCAAAUGAGUUGACUCCAAAGAGGGGAAGGGGGUCAUGGGAACUCCAACUUGAAGCCAGUUAGUCAGAAGUUCCAGGGAUCAGGACUUGUAACCGUUGGGAAGGAGGGGGUGGUCUCAUGGAUCUGCACCCUAACCCUGUGGGAUCUGAUGCUGUCUCUGGUUGAUUACAUUGGAACUGAAUUGGAGGACACCCAGCUGAUGUCUGCUGCUUGGUGUGUGUGGGGAAAAUCCUCCAAAUAUUUGGUCACAGAAGUCUUCUGUGUUGGUGACUGUUGCUGUGGCAUGCCAGCAAAGGACAAACAUGGUUUGAAAAGAGGUUUUCCUGCAACAGAAGGGCAUUCUACGUUCAAAGGUCAGGGUAACAUUAGUGUUAAAAAGAGAGACGUGGCCGGGCACGGUGGCUCACUCCUGUAAUCCCAGCACUUUGGAAGGCCGAGGCAGGUGGAUCACUUGAGUUCAGGAGUUAAAGACCAGCCUGGCCAACAUGGUGAAACCUUAUCUCUAUGAAAAAUACAAAAAUUAGCCGGGCGUGAUGGCACAGGCCCGUAGUCCUAACUCCCUGGUAGACUGAGGCAGGAGAAUUGCUUGAACCCGGGAGGCAGAGGUUGCAGUAAACCAAUAUGGUGCCACUAAACUCCAACCUGGGCGACAGAGCAAGACUCCAUCUUGGAAAAAAAAAAAUUAGCCUGGCGUGGUGGUGCAUGCCUAUAGUCCCAGCUACCGGGGAGGCUGAGGCACAAGAAUUGCUUGAACCCAGGAGGCGGAGGUUGCAGUGAGCCGAGACUGUGCCAUUGUACUCAAGCCUGGGCAACAGACCAAGGCUCCGUCAC